AAUGGGGCUCCAAAUGCACCUCUCUGUGGAACUUCUUGAAAUGAACAUGUGCAGUCUCUCAAAAAAGAAAAAAUGGUUAUUAACCUUUUUGUAAUGGUAGUGAUAGGAAGAAGCUUAGAGGAACCAGUUGUCAACCCUUUAUGUCUGUACAGCAUGCACAAGAUGGCAGAAAGUACUCAGGCCUUGCCAAUAGAUAUCUCAAAGAGUAAAUCUGUCUGAGAACCAUGCUGGAGCCCGAAACCCCCUCCAAUGGAAUGGAUGCGUGCAACACAUUUCAACAAACAACAGUUAUGGCAAGGAUACUGCUGCCACUACACUGUUAUGAUACAUAGUGUGGAGACUCUGGAGGUGUUGCUGCUGCUGCUGUAAGAACAUCAGCAAUAAUGAUGGUAUUAUCUACCACCACGUAUAUAUCAUUUAGAAGACUGUAGAUGAAAGAAGAAGCUCAGCGAGCUAAAGAUGUGCCAGGGUGGAAUACAGAAAUGUUUUAGCAUUUCACAGUGAUAACUACACAUCAGUUUUGAGAAAGAAAGUGAAGAAUAUUUCAUCCAGUUUCAAGACAUAAAGUGAAGAAUAGUAGGCAGAAAGCGAAGAAUAAUGCAUCAAGAUGAGUCUAUUUGUG